GCGCAGAAAACACAGAUGGAUUCUGAAGGUGAGGGCUUCUCUUAUGUCACCACAGCAUCUUAGUUAUGGGUCUGCGGGAUUUGUGGAGUAACUACAAAGUGUUGAUUGUGAUGGGCACAAGUCUGGGGCUGAUCCACUGGGGCUGGUACAAUCUGAAGGGAAACCCACUGCUACGCAAAGACGGAGACGAGUAUAUUCCUGAACCUGGCAUUGUUACCUACGUUUCCCCUCCUGCAUCUGCUCUUCCUUCUCCUCCUCCAGCUGUUGCUCACAAGAGCAAGUAACCCGCACUGAGUGGUCAGCAUGAAACCUCAGAGCUGGCUCAGAAGGAACUGGCUGUGGGCCGUCUCUGGUGCCUUUGUGACUAUCCACCUGGCCACAUGGAUAAUGCAGAGAACUAUGAAGAGCGUGGUGCGCUCUGAAGUUGCAGUCAAAAAGAAAACUGUUGAAGGGAGACCAGACUGAUUUUUAUUUAAGUCCCUGGAAUGAUGGAAGGAUAGAAAUCAGCCUCCAGACGACUGUGCCUCACAUUCACUGAUAAAGACUGUACUGUAUCCACAUCCAUCCACAUCCACUUGAGAAUAUCAAGUUUGAAACGAUUGCCGUAAAAAUUCAGUUUUGUUGGACAGCUUGACACUUUUCUUGAGUUAGUUCAAAUAAAUUGCUGUUUCAAGUUGUAAUUUAAAGUAAUUAAAAACAUGGAAAUGUAUAUUUCAAUAAAAUAAAUGUCUUGAUUAAGACUUUUUUAUGUCGAUUUAAAGGGUGGACUUACUCAGCUUCACAGUGUAUUGUAGGGAGAUUGUAUUUAUUUCUUCAUGUUAACCAGUUCAAUUUAAACACCUAAAAUUAUAGAUGUCAGUGCUGCUAACAAGAAUUAUCUUAAACUAAAGCAAGAAUAGUCAAAUUUUAUUUCAACUGGGGCAGACACUUAAAACCACAGUAUUAAUACUGUGUUAAAAAUGUAUCCAAAAUGAUUUGUUUCUUGUCAUUCAAAAAAACAUUGUUUCAUUAAAUGUGAUUGUUUUCAUAUCCUUAUCAAAUAAAUCUGUUGGAAUCUCCCCUUA